CAGGGAGUAGCCAGACCCCAGUCUCAGUGAAAGAGCUGAGUGAUUCCACUCUAAGGCAGAUCCUACCUUGCAGCUGACUAAGAAAGAGGUAACCAUAUAUCAUUCAACCAUGUGUGCCGUUAUGGAUUCAAAAGCCCAGAUGGGCUCCUACCAGCUGAACUGCCUAGGUGAAUUCCUGCCUGCUUGGAUGAUUAGAAUCCUGCAGCUCACAGUGUCAGGCAGUGAGAUCAGAUUCCCCAACUCUGUCUGGCAGCUGCAAGGUUCAGUCUCCAAACCCUAAGGACAAAGAGAUGUAGUGUCACAUCAACCUGACCUACCUUUUGGACGGCUAGAAUUUCACAUUUAGUAAAUGUGAAACAAUAGGGCAGUGCUUCCUUUUAAGUGAACAUUAAUAUUAACCAACAAUAGAAUCCCAAAGGAAAUGUGUGGCUGAAGCUUGAAUACGAAAUUAAUUCUUUAUGAGUAGGGUUGAACAUUAAAAUAAACCCUGUGACAGCCAGGUGAAAGAAUUAAACUAAGAGAAUUUAUGAUAAAAAAGCAGGAGAAAAUCCUCAUUGUGAAAAACUCGAGUUGGUGUAAGUGUCUAAACCAGAACAAAAAUAGCAUCUUCUGUCUGAGACAAGAUAAUAUUUUAAGAUAAUUAUGUUAAAAUUAGCUAUGAUAGAAUUAUAAGAUUCACCACCUACACAGAUGCUCAGAAGCACAAAUCUUAUUAUAUAGAGAGAUUCAAUAUAAAUGCUUUUUGGCUUUCACAAUACUUUUCCUGACCAAUUCAGUACUGCAAUGAUGUAUAUACUGUGGGAAUAUUUCUUGUGUUAAUUUUAAUAUUUAAAGAUCUCUUUUCCCUUCUUUGCCUAUGUAUAUUAACUCUCUUUGAUGCCAGUUUGAUGUACGAGCAAGGAUUACCUAUCUCUUUAUUAUAUGGGCUCUUAGUAAUUCUGUUAGCCCUUGCUAAAGUGUAAGAUACAAAGUACUAUAUAUAUAAAUGUAAAAUGAUUACAUAUUAAA